AGCCCCGUAGUGUAGCGGUCCAUCAUCGAGCCCUUUGGAGGCUUGGACGACGGUUCGAAUCCGUCCGGGGCUA
rnacentral:tRNA from 1 species